rnacentral:rRNA from 1 species
AAUGAACGCUGGCGGCGUGCCUAACACAUGCAAGUCGAACGAGAAAGCAGGCUUCGGUCUGCAAGUAAAGUGGCAUACGGGUGAGUAACACGUGGGUAACCUGCCCGGAGGUCGGGGGACAACUCUUCGAAAGGAGAGCUAAUACCGCAUGACAUCCCGAGGACCUCGGUCCACGGGAUCAAAGAUUGCCUCUGUUUCAUGCAAUCGCCACCGGAGGGACCCGCGCCCCAUUAGCUUGAUGGUGAGGUAACGGCUCACCAUGGCUACGAUGGGUAGCCGGCCUGAGAGGGUGAUCGGCCACACUGGAACUGAGACACGGUCCAGACUCCUACGGGAGGCAGCAGUGAGGAAUUUUGCGCAAUGGGGGAAACCCUGACGCAGCGACGCCGCGUGGAGGACGAAGGCCUUCGGGUCGUAAACUCCUGUCAAGAGGGACGAAUCCCCAACGGAUGAAUAAGCCGCUGGGUUGACGGUACCUCUGAAGGAAGCCCCGGCUAACUCCGUG